AGUGGGAUAACUGGGUCAUAUUAUGGCUCAUUCCUAGUUCUUUGAGGAAUCUUCAUACUGUUUUCCAGAGUGGUUGCACUAAUUUGCAAUCCCACCAACAAU
rnacentral:pre_miRNA from 1 species